rnacentral:lncRNA from 1 species
GCAAACUAAAGUACUAUCUAAUCAGCUCUUUGCAUCAGGAAAUAAACUGGUUAAAUUUGCUGGCGAAAAUAUGUUUAAUCUAGUCGCCUUAAAAGAGAGACAGACUGUUUUUGUUCGCAUACCAACCGCAAUGAGCAGUGGGGUGAUAAUGAGGAAGAAUUUUAAGGUCUUAUGCCCGCAAGGAUACAAAUUAUACGUGCAACGACAAUGUACAGUAAUAAAGACAGGAAUUAUAUGUAACUAUAUCAAUGUCCAGUGUGAACCGUGUCCAACGAAAACCUACACACUCGAAAGAGGCAGGUUAAUUUUCAAUAAAAGCAACGACCUCGAAUGCCAACAAUGUCCUCGAGGAGGGGACUGUGACAGUGGACUAGUCACAGCCAAAUCAAACUUUUGGGGUUACAAAACAAACACGAAAGUCAAUUUUCUUCAAUGUCCACCAGGAUACUGCUGCGACUCCGAGGAU